UACGUAGGGUGCAAGCGUUGUCCGGAAUUAUUGGGCGGAAAGAGCUCGUAGGCGGUUUGUCGCGUCGAAUGUGAAAACCCGGGGCUCAACCCCGGGCCUGCAUUCGAUACGGGCAGACUAGAGUUCGGUAGGGGAGUCUGGAAUUCCUGGUGUAGCGGUGAAAUGCGCAGAUAUCAGGAGGAACACCGGUGGCGAAGACGGGACUCUGGGCCGAUACUGACGCUGAGACGCGAAAGCGUGGGGAGCAAACAGG
rnacentral:rRNA from 1 species